CUCCUUUUGAGCAUGACGUUAUUCGUUCCUGUCGGGCGUCCUCACAAAUUACCUGCAUUCAGAGAUUCAUACCGGCACAGGUCGGUAUGCGAAGUCCCUUUUGGGGCCUUAGCUCAGCUGGGAGAGCACCUGCUUUGCAAGCAGGGGGUCGUCGGUUCGAUCCCGACAGGCUCCACCAUAUUGAGUGAAAAGACUUCGGGUCUGUAGCUCAGGUGGUUAGAGCGCACCCCUGAUAAGGGUGAGGUCGGUAGUUCGAGUCUACCCAGACCCACCACUCUGAAUGUAGUGCACACUUAAGAAUUUAUAUGGAUCAGCGUUGAGGCUGAGACAUGUUCUUUUAUAACUUGUGACGUAGCGAGCGUUUGAGAUAUCUAUCUAAACGUGUCGUUGAGGCUAAGGCGGGGACUUCGAGUCCCUAAAUAAUUGAGUCGUAUGUUCGCGUUGGUGGCUUUGUACCCCACACAACACGGCAUGUAGCUCCGAGGCAACUUGGGGUUAUAUGGUCAAGCGAAUAAGCGCACACGGUGG
rnacentral:tRNA from 1 species